AUAUACCUUUAAAGCAAAGCCUAAGAUAAUUAGAGAGGAGAUAUUAGAUAUAAUAAUUAUGAUUAUAUAGGGUACUAAUAAUGUGUGUAUAUUGCUUGGUAAAUGGUUGAGCUUGAAACAAAAGCAAAGAUUAGAAAAAUCGUGAUAUGUAUUUUGCAUGAAUAUAAGUUGAAGUUGGAUUAUAAAGUGAGUUUGAAAAUACUAGUAUUGAGGAUGGAUAUGAAUGUAGUUAAUAGAAGGGAUGGAAUU
rnacentral:lncRNA from 1 species